rnacentral:lncRNA from 1 species
CCCAGUUCAGCCGAAAAUGGCCUAAUCUGGGGGGCUCAGAGGUAAGUCCAUCACUAACAAGAAACUUUCAAGUGAGUCUACAAGCAGUUGAGAAAAACCAAAUUAGACCUACUAAAUGGUCAUCGAUCCACAAGGAUCUCUCAAUAAAUCGAACCUAGCCCACAAAACUAGACAAAACCUUGCCAAGAACACAAUACAGGUUUGCCAGCCACAAUCAAGGCCUAAAAUACUGUACCAAUGUUCUACCAUCAUCAAAUAACUACAAGAUUAUCACAAAAAACACAAGUUUUCCAGAUCUAAGAAGAUAAGAAGAAGUAGAGGUGAGAGAACCACAAAGAGAGAGAAAACACAAGAGACAAUUUCAUCCAAAAGAGAGUGCUCGACCGAUUGAUUUGCACCAACCCUCAAAAGUCUUCAAUUAUUGAAGAAUAAAUCUUAGCCUUAGGAUUCGAUCAACGGUCCACAAUAGCCAAGAGAAAGCACAACUCGAUUGACCACUUAUUAACCAAUGCAAAAGUACAAACUGUCCAUAGGAAUACAAGUAGGAAAAAUCACAUUUUCACUUAUGAAAGUGUGGUUUGAGAAACACAACUCCACAGUACACAAAAAGUUUGAUAGAAUUCUUAUAGAAAGACAUUUGACAAUUUUUCAUUGGUUUUUAACAUAACAAACACAGAAAAUGCACCAUACAGAGGUUGUCAAUGUAGCACUUGUAUCAUUUCCAUUCAUAAUUCCUUGUACCUAUGGAAUUAUUCAUUUGACAAAGGCUGGCCUCCGACUCCAAGACAUUGGGAUGCUCCAGUUGUUAAUCCUGGAGUCACUUCAUAUUAAGUGAGAGCUAAAUAAAUGUUGAAACAUUAAUUUAUUAUGCAUGUAUUUUGCCUAAAACCCAUCUAUUAAUUGGCCCAUUAUUUUAGAACCAUCGUCACUAGUUCUUUAUAAAAGCCACUAUAUUAAUUAGUUUGGUAUGGUCCUCAGCCUCUUCAGUUCCUCAUAACUAAUAUACGGGCCCUAAAACCUUGCUUCACUGCUCUUCCGAGAUUUAGCAUUAUGGUUAUUAUUUGUGACAUCAGCUCCAAACCAUCCUCCUCCAUAUCCUGGCGGCGUCAGGUUCACUCCAUUAAGCACCAAAACAUAGACGGCUUUUUUCCCUUUUGAUUGAUAAUCCUUUUCAUCCCGUUAUUCCUAAUAAAGGACUCCACCAGGUAGGGAUACACCCAAUAUUUCCAUGCUUUUCUUUAACAAUUUUUAAAGAAAGAUGGUGCUUCAUGCUGUAGAUUCAGUAAAGAAUACUUGCACGUAACAAAAUGUCGUCCACUAUUCUCAUUCCUUGAAAAGUAAACCUCCAAAUGCAGGCGACAGUUGAAAUAAAAUCUCAAUUGCCUCUUAACUGAAAAGGGUUGAAAAAGAAACAGUGCUAAAACAAAGGGUCAGAAAAAUAUCAUGCCAGGAGAAAGGAACACAGGAUAGAAAAUAUUUUUGCCCUUAUGUUCAACAGGUACACACAUGCAUCUAAUGAUCUAAUACAAUAGGCCACCUAGUGUAGUCGAUUUAUCUAGAAAAAGAAAAAAAAUUGCUUUGGGUAAGGAAGAAGAGAGGAACAAACACGUUUGGAGGGCACAGUCCAACGGAGAAUUGUAUGUUGCAUUCCGGAAUAAACAGGCGUAGUAUAAAAUCAAGGUAAGACAGAGACAAGUUAUAUAUGUUAUUGAUCAAGUAGCUAGCUAGAACAAGAACAUUGUACAGAAGUCAACGUUUGAUUGAUAUUUCUAGUAAUUAAGCAUUUAGAAAGUGAAAACUAACAGUAGUAUCUUAAGCAACAGACAUAUAUAAAUAUAUGCUGCUUAUUUCUUAAAAGAGACUACUGAUUUAAACUUAAUUAUAUAAAUAUUCAUGCUGCUGGUGCAAUUCCUGAGUCAUCGUCAUCGUCAUCGUCAUCAUCGCCUUCAUUUCUUGCACAUAUGUGGAGACAAAUUGCGGCCCUAGCUUUAUUGCCAUUCAACUUGGGGUUAUCGAUCAGCUUCUCAGCACAAAAAAUCACCAUUUUGAGAAACCCAAUAAAGUUUACGUGCAAACAAAAUAUAUAACUCGAUCUAAAGAACAACGAGGUGAUACUCGAAGUAUAUUAGGGUUAGAAAAACAUUCUUCCCCCAUUUAUAGCUUGAACUCUAUGGCUUUUGUGGUUUUAGCCCAUUUUUUCAUUUGAGAGACUUUCACUGCCAAGGAUUCUUGCUUUUCGAAUCACUUUUUAUGCUCAAGAUCUAUACCGGAUACAAAAAGGAGAAAACUUGACAUGGUGUGGUUAAUCUCCAUAGAUUUAUUGCUGAGUGGAGAAAACGGGACCAUGCAUGAGUUAAAC